UACAGAGGGGGCAAGCGUUGUUCGGAAUUACUGGGCGUAAAGGGCGCGUAGGCGGCCUGCUAAGUCGAACGUGAAAUCCCUGGGCUCAACCCAGGAACUGCGUCCGAUACUGGUUGGCUUGAAUCCGGGAGAGGGAUGUGGAAUUCCAGGUGUAGCGGUGAAAUGCGUAGAUAUCUGGAGGAACACCGGUGGCGAAGGCGACACCCUGGACCGGUAUUGACGCUGAGGCGCGAAAGCCAGGGGAGCAAACGGG
rnacentral:rRNA from 1 species